AUACGUAGGUGACAAGCGUUAUCCGGAUUUACUGGGCGUAAAGGGCGUGUAGGCGGUCUUGCAAGUCAGAAGUGAAAUUCCUGAGCUCAACCGGGCGCUGCUUCUGAAACUGCAGGACUUGAGUGCUGGAGGGGAUAGCGGAAUUCCUAGUGGAGCGGUAAAAUGCGCAGAUAUUAGGAAGAACACCGGUGGCGAAGGCGGCUUUCUGGACAGUAACUGACGCUGAGGAGCGAAAGCGUGGGGAGAAAACAGGAUUAGAUACCCUGGGAGCCCACGCCGUAAACGAUGAAUACUAGGUGUAGGGGGUAUCGACCCCCUCUGUGCCGCAGUUAACACAAUAAGUAUUCCGCCUGGGGAGUACGGCCGCAAGGUUGAAACUCAAAUGAAUUGGCGGGG
rnacentral:rRNA from 1 species